CCCGCCUGGCCCGGGCCGGCCCGCAGUGCCGGCGGUAAUGAGGACCCCGUGUCGGUGCAGCCGCAGCCGCAGCCGCCGGCAGGAUGGUUCAGUACCAGGAAGACGUUCACAACAGCCACACUCCAGAGACACAACACAGGAUCUCUCGAAGGAACGGUUACAGUCCUUUGAAGUCUGGAAGUAGUUGA
rfam:Tupaia chinensis contig171244, whole genome shotgun sequence.